rnacentral:misc_RNA from 1 species
UUUCCGUUGGUGAACCAGCGGAGGGAUCAUUACCCAGUGCAAACUCAUAACCCUUUGUGAACCUGUAUCUGUUGCUUCGGCGGCUCGCUCUCGGGCGAGCCCGCCGGUAAUAUCAGUAUCUCUGUUUGAACCCGACGAUACUCCUGAUUGUUCUUAGCGAACAGUUAAAACUUUUAACAACGGAUCUCUUGGCUCUA